rnacentral:rRNA from 1 species
UGGGGAAUAUUGGACAAUGGGCGCAAGCCUGAUCCAGCCAUGCCGCGUGAGUGAUGAAGGCCCUAGGGUUGUAAAGCUCUUUCACCGGUGACGAUAAUGACGGUAACCGGAGAAGAAGCCCCGGCUAACUUCGUGCCAGCAGCCGCGGUAAUACGAAGGGGGCUAGCGUUGUUCGGAAUUACUGGGCGUAAAGCGCACGUAGGCGGAUAUUUAAGUCAGGGGUGAAAUCCCGGGGCUCAACCCCGGAACGGCCUUUGAUACUGGAUGUCUUGAGUCCGGAAGAGGUGAGUGGAAUUGCGAGUGUAGAGGUGAAAUUCGUAGAUAUUCGCAGGNAACACCAGUGGCGAAGGCGCUCACUGGUCCGGAACUGACGCUGAGGUGCGAAAGCGUGGGAGCAAACAGGAUUAGAUACCCUGGUAGUCCACGCCGUAAUCGAUGGAAGCUAGCCGUUGGGCGAUUUAUCGCUCGGUGGCGCAGUUAACGCAUUAAGCUU